rnacentral:rRNA from 1 species
GAUGAACGCUGGCGGCGUGCCUAAUACAUGCAAGUCGAGCGAACAGACGAGGAGCUUGCUCCUCUGACGUUAGCGGCGGACGGGUGAGUAACACGUGGAUAACCUACCUAUAAGACUGGGAUAACUUCGUGAAACCGGAGCUAAUACCGGAUAAUAUAUUGAACCGCAUGGUUCAAUAGUGAAAGACGGUUUUGCUGUCACUUAUAGAUGGAUCCGCGCCGCAUUAGCUAGUUGGUAAGGUAACGGCUUACCAAGGCAACGAUGCGUAGCCGACCUGAGAGGGUGAUCGGCCACACUGAAACUGAGACACGGUCCAGACUCCUACGGGAGGCAGCAGUAGGGAAUCUUCCGAAAUGGGCGAAAGCCUGACGGAGCAACGCCGCGUGAGUGAUGAAGGUCUUCGGAUCGUAAAACUCUGUUAUUAGGGAAGAACAAAUGUGUAAGUAACUAUGCACGUCUUGACGGUACCUAAUCAGAAAGCCACGGCUAACUACGUG